AUACUUACCUGGAUGGGGUCAAUGGAUGAGCAAUAAGUUCUAUGGCCUAGGUUGGUGACUUUCAUUGCACUUUGAAAGGGUGUCAUCCUAAGGUCUUCCCAAGUGGAAGAGCCUACAUCAUAAUUUGUGGUAGUGGGGUCAGCGUUCGCGCGACCCUUU
rfam:Phaseolus vulgaris cultivar G19833 chromosome 5, whole genome shotgun sequence.